AUCAAACACAGCAGUCAGUCUGGACAUCCAAAUGAGAGCAGCACACUCAUCGCUGACAGCGGCACUAACGCUUACUGUGUUUAAACCAUCAUCACAGACAGAAAAUCGGCCCUGAAACCAAUCUUUCUACCAAAUCAGUUCUCUACAUCAUCCUAAUGUGAAAUGUUCCACAUGUGUCCAGAUGAUCUGCAACAACAGGAGGAAGAAGCACAUACACACAGCACAUCGAACAUCUGUGCACCAGCUUUGUCGAGCACGGUGGUGCAGAGAGACAGCAGGCACAAGCUGUUGGCUUACACUGAUUCUGAAUCACUACCACGGUGCGUACCUUUGAUGAAUCCAACAGUAACUUUGUGUGGAUACAGACCGAGUACAUGUCCACACAAAUGUAAGUGAAUGAGGCCCAGUGAGCCCCACUACAGCAGCAUGGUCAGAGUCCAAACCUCAACUCAAACAGUGUGCCAGAACCGUAGCAGAGCUGUGCAUGAACAAAUACCUACAAAUCUCCAUGAAUCCAAGCAAGGGUGUAAAUAAGAGCCACGUUCCUCCACAACAGAGACGUGAACUUAGCUUCUGACUCACGGGGUGUCCUCAGUCACUCCCAGAGACUGUGCUCUCUGCAGAGAUGUGGAGUCCCUGAUGUAAAGGUUUUACAAUGCACAGCAUUUUCAUUUUCCUUCUGCUUGAUAUGGUUCCAACCUUUCCUGUGACUUUGCUCCUUGACACUCUUAACCCAUCGCACCAUCAGAUGAAGCCUGCCACGUGUUCCUGACUGUUACUUCCCAUGCUACACACCUCCAUCCUGGAUCCUGGACACCUUGGAAGGUUUAUCUCCAAGGCCGAGGUGAGACAGCAGGUCUAGGCCCAGCGCUGAAUUAAUAGCUGCAGGGCAAGAUGGCUGUGUCUACAUCGGCUCACCUCUCACCCCCUUACCCACCCUCAUUGCUUGUCAUGUGGUUUAUGGUGUUGUGACGUGGACAUGUAUGUGCUCUCUGUGCACAGGAGUUUUUUUGUUUUCUGUUCUCAUGCUGACCUCCCACAAGGAGCCCAGUAUGAGUAGAGGUCUCUUUUUUUCACUCCUCCCAUUGUGUUGUACAUUUCAUUGUUUUUCCAAAUUACUGCCUGUCUCCGACCAGUCUUCCCAUGUGAUGCCUGUGCUAUGUAUGUAUGGUCGGGGGGUCCAAUUUCACUGCAGGUGUAAACUUUGCAUGUGACAAAUAAAAGGCUUGAUUGAU